rnacentral:misc_RNA from 1 species
CAAGAAGCCGAAAGGCUACUUAAAACCAUCGCGAACUUAUCCAAGUUGCUUCGGCGGCGCGGCUCCCCUCACGGGGGACCGCAGCCCCCGCCUCUCAGAAGGUAAGGGGCAGCCGCCGGAGGUACGAAACUCUGUAUUAUAGUGGUAUCUCUGAGUAUAAAACAAAUAAGUUA